GAGUUUGAUCUUGGCUCAGAUUGAACGCUGGCGGCAUGCCUUACACAUGCAAGUCGAACGGCAGCACGGGAGCUUGCUCCUGGUGGCGAGUGGCGAACGGGUGAGUAAUGCAUCGGAACGUAUCCUGGAGUGGGGGAUAACGUAGCGAAAGUUACGCUAAUACCGCAUAUUCUGUGAGCAGGAAAGCGGGGGACCUUCGGGCCUCGCGCUCUUGGAGCGGCCGAUGUCGGAUUAGCUAGUUGGUGAGGUAAAGGCUCACCAAGGCGACGAUCCGUAGCAGGUCUGAGAGGAUGAUCUGCCACACUGGAACUGAGACACGGUCCAGACCCUACGGGAGGCAGCAGUGGGGAAUUUUGGACAAUGGGGGCAACCCUGAUCCAGCCAUGCCGCGUGAGUGAAGAAGGCCUUCGGUU
rnacentral:rRNA from 1 species